AACUANGGGGCUCCUGGUAUGCUUGUUACAUGCUAGUCGUACGGCAGCGCGCACUUCGGUCUGGCGGCGAGUGGCGAACGGGUGAGCCAUAUAUCGCAGCGUACCCAGUAGGCGGGGGAUAACUACUCGAAAGAGUAGCUAAUACCGCAUACGCCCUACGGGGGAAAGGGGGGGAUCGCAAGACCUCUCACUAUUGGAGCGGCCGAUAUCGGAUUAGCUAGUUGGUGGGGUAAAGGCCUACCAAGGCGACGAUCCGUAGCUGGUUUGAGAGGACGACCAGCCACACUGGGACUGAGACACGGCCCAGACUCCUACGGGAGGCAGCAGUGGGGAAUUUUGGACAAUGGGGGCAACCCUGAUCCAGCCAUCCCGCGUGUGCGAUGAAGGCCUUCGGGUUGUAAAGCACUUUUGGCAGGAAAGAAAUCGCACGGGUUAAUACCUUGUGUGGAUGACGGUACCUGCAGAAUAAGC
rnacentral:rRNA from 1 species